UGGUUAAAUUUGAACUUGUUGUUGUUGA
rnacentral:piRNA from 1 species